GUGUGUGUGACUGUGUGUGAUGAUUUGCCUGUGUGUGUCACUGCCUGUGUGUUUGUGUGUGACUGUCUGUCUGUGUGACUGCUUCCCUGUGUGUGUGACUGUCUGUCUGUGUGACUUUCUGCCUGCCUCUGCGUGACUGCUUGUGUGUGUGUCGCUGUAGCUGUGCCAUUGUGUGUGCCUGUAUGUGUGACUAUCUCCCUUUAACUGACUGUCUGUGUGCCUAUCAGCAUGCGUGAAUGUCUGCAUGCCUGUAACCGAGUGUGUACGACUGUCUGCUUGUAAUGGACUAUUUGCGACUGUCUGCUUGUGUGUGUGUGUGACUGUCUGCCUGUAACUGUGUGUGUAACUGUCUGCCUUUAACUGUGUGUGUGACUGUGUGACUGUCUGUCUGUAAUUGAGCAUGUGUGACUGUCUGACUGUAACUGUGUGUGUGUGUGUGUGUAACUGUCUGCCUGUAACUGAGCGUGUCUGACUGUCUGCUUGUAACUGUUUGUUUGUUUGUUUGACUGUCUGCCUGUGUGUGUGACUGUAUACAGGCAACUUGGUGAAGACUUCGCACAGGGCGCCAAAUGGCCUAAGGCCGGCCCUGUGUGGGGGGUCAAUCUUUGUGUGUGUAUGGGUCAGUCUGUGUGUGAGGGUCAGUCUGUGUGGGUGUGUGCAUGGGUCAGUUUGUGUGGGUGGGUAACACAUACAUAGAGCAUAUAGUGGACACAUAUAUGCACGGUGUGUCUGCAGAUCAACUCAUACAUAGAGCAUAUAGUAGAUACAUACUGAGGCUGUGUCAUCAGACCAACUCCUAUAUAGAGCAUAUACUGGAUACAUAAACUGAGGCUGUGUCUUCAGACCAACUCAUACAAACAUCAUAGUGGACACAUAUACUGAGGCUGAGUCUUCAGACCAACUCAUACAUUGGCCAUGUAGUGGGCACAUUUACUGAGGCUGUGCUUCACACCAAAUCUUACAUAGAGUAUAUAGUGCAUACAU